rnacentral:rRNA from 1 species
AACGUAGGACACAAGCGUUAUCCGGAGUUACUGGGCGUAAAGGGCGUGUAGGCGGAUGUGUAAGUCUACUCUGAAAGCUUCUGGCUAAACUGGAAGAGGCGAGUGGAGACUGCAAGUCUAGAGUGAGGAAGAGGAAAGUGGAAUUCCGCGUGUAGUGGUGAAAUGCGUAGAGAUGCGGAGGAACACCAGUGGCGAAAGCGGCUUUCUGGUCCUUAACUGACGCUGAGGCGCGAAAGCAUGGGGAGCGAACGGG